GAUCAUGGCUCAGGAUGAACGCUAGCGGCAGGCUUAACACAUGCAAGUCAAGGGGCAGCGCGAGUAGCAAUACUUGGCGGCGACCGGCGCAAGGGUGCGUAACGCGUGAGCAACAUGCCCGUAUCAGGGGGAUAAUCCAGGGAAACUUGGUCUAAUACCCCAUAGUAAUUUUGUAAGGCAUCUUAUAAGAUUUAAAGCUUUGGUGGAUACGGAUUGGCUCGCGUGACAUUAGCUGGACGGUAAGGUAACGGCUUACCAUGGCUAUGAUGUCUAGGGGUUCUGAGAGGAAGGUCCCCCACACUGGAACUGAGACACGAUCCAGACUCCUACGGGAGGCAGCAGUGAGGAAUAUUGGACAAUGGAUGGAAAUCUGAUCCAGCCAUGCCGCGUGAAGGAAGAAGGUUCUAUGGAUUGUAAACUUCUUUUGUAUGGGAGCAAUAAGGCCUACGAGUAGGUUGAUGAGAGUACCAUACGAAUAAGCACCGGCUAACUCCGUGCCAGCCGCCGC
rnacentral:rRNA from 1 species